UGCCAGCCGCCGCGGUAAUACGGAGGGGGUUAGCGUUGUUCGGAAUUACUGGGCGUAAAGCGCGCGUAGGUGGUUUAUUAAGUUGGAUGUGAAAUCCCCGGGCUCAACCUGGGAACUGCAUCCAAAACUGAUUCACUAGAGUACGAUAGAGGGAGGUAGAAUUCACAGUGUAGCGGUGGAAUGCGUAGAUAUUGUGAAGAAUACCAGUGGCGAAGGCGGCCUCCUGGAUCUGUACUGACACUGAGGUGCGAACGCGUGGGUAGCGAACAGGAUUAGAUA
rnacentral:rRNA from 1 species